UACGAAGGGGGCUAGUGUUGUUCGGAAUCACUGGGCGUAAAGGGAGCGUAGGCGGGAGCCUAAGUUGGGUGUUUAAUUCCGGGGCCCAACCCCGGGCGUGCACUCAAAACUGGGUUUCUUGAAUAGGGGAGAGGUCGGUGGAAUUGGAGGUGUAGCGGUGGAAUGCGUAGAGAUCUCCAAGAACACCCGUUGCGAAGGCGGCCGACUGGACCCAUAUUGACGCUGAGGCUCGAAAGCAUGGGGAGCAAACAGG
rnacentral:rRNA from 1 species